GUGACAGCAGCCGCGGUAAUACGUAGGGGGCAAGCGUUGUUCGGAAUUACUGGGCGUAAAGGGCGCGUAGGCGGCACGGCAAGUCGGGAGUGAAAGCCCGGGGCUCAACCCCGGAACGGCUCUCGAAACUGCCGAGCUAGAGUGCGGAAGGGGCAACUGGAAUUCCCAGUGUAGCGGUGAAAUGCGUAGAUAUUGGGAAGAACACCUGAGGCGAAGGCGGGUUGCUGGGCCGACACUGACGCUGAGGCGCGAAAGCCAGGGGAGCAAACGGGAUUAGAUACCCCGGUAGUCC
rnacentral:rRNA from 1 species